AUUGAACGCUGGCGGCAGGCUUAACACAUGCAAGUCGAACGAGUGGCGGACGGGUGAGUAAUGCCUGGGAAUCUGGCUUAUGGAGGGGGAUAACUACGGGAAACUGUAGCUAAUACCGCGUACCAUAGGAUGAGCCCAAGUGGCAUUAGGUAGUUGUGGGGGGAAAGGCUAACCAAGCCGACGGUCCCUAGCUGGUCUGAGAGGAUGACCAGCCACACUGGGACUGAUACACGGCCCAGACUCCGACGGGAGGCAGCAGUGGGGAAUAUUGGACAAUGGGCGCAAGCCUGAUGCAGCCAUGCCGCGUGUGUGAAGAAGGUCUUCGGAUUGUAAAGUACUUUAAGUUGGGAGGCGUUACCAACAGAAUAAGCACCGGCUAACUUCGUGCCAGCCGCCGCGGUAAUAC
rnacentral:rRNA from 1 species